rnacentral:rRNA from 1 species
UACGAAGGGGGCUAGCGUUGCUCGGAAUCACUGGGCGUAAAGCGCACGUAGGCGGACUCUUAAGUCAGGGGUGAAAUCCUGGAGCUCAACUCCAGAACUGCCCUUGAUACUGGGAGCCUUGAGUUCGGGAGAGGUGAGUGGAACUGCGAGUGUAGAGGUGAAAUUCGUAGAUAUUCGCAAGAACACCAGUGGCGAAGGCGGCUCACUGGCCCGGUACUGACGCUGAGGUGCGAAAGCGUGGGGAGCAAACAGG